UCUGGAAACUGUNUGACUUGAGUGCAGAAGGGGAGAGUGGAAUUCCAUGUGUAGCGGUGAAAUGCGUAGAUAUAUGGAGGAACACCAGUGGCGAAAGCGGCUCUCUGGUCUGUCACUGACGCUGAGGCUCGAAAGCGUGGGUAGCGAACAGGAUUAGAUACCCUGGUAGUCCACGCCGUAAACGAUGAGUGCUAGGUGUUAGGCCCUUUCCGGGGCUUAGUGCCGGAGCUAACGCAAUAAGCACUCCGCCUGGGGAGUACGACCGCAAGGUUGAAACUCAAAGGAAUUGACGGGGGCCCGCACAAGCGGUGGAGCAUGUGGUUUAAUUCGAAGCAACGCGGAGAACCUUACCAGGUCUUGACAUCCCGAUGCUAUUCUUAGAGAUAGGAAGUUACUUCGGUACAUCGGAGACAGGUGGUGCAUGGUUGUCGUCAGCUCGUGUCGUGAGAUGUUGGGUUAAGUCCCGCAACGAGCGCAACCCUUAUUGUUAGUUGCCAUCAUUAAGUUGGGCACUCUAGCGAGACUGCCGGUAAUAAACCGGAGGAAGGUGGGGAUGACGUCAAAUCAUCAUGCCCCUUAUGACCUGGGCUACACACGUGCUACAAUGGUCGGUACAACGAGUUGCGAGCCGGUGACGGCAAGCUAAUCUCUGAAAGCCGAUCUCAGUUCGGAUUGGAGGCUGCAACUCGCCUCCAUGAAGUCGGAAUCGUUAGUAAUCGCGGAUCAGCACGCCGCGGUGAAUACGUUCCCGGGCCUUGUACACACCG
rnacentral:rRNA from 1 species